rnacentral:rRNA from 1 species
AGGGUUUGAUCCUGGCUCACGAUGAACGCUGGCGGUAUGCCUAACACAUGCAAGUCGUACGAGAGUUUUUAACUCUAGUGGCGGACGGGUGAGUAACACGUGAGAAUUUACCUUUAGGAGGGGGAUAACAAUUGGAAACGAUUGCUAAUACCCCAUAUGCUUUUGAGUGAAAUGGAUUUAUAUUUAUCCGCCUAGAGAGAAGCUCGCGGCUGAUUAGCUUGUUGGUAAGGUAAGAGCUUACCAAGGCGACGAUCAGUAUCUGGUUUGAGAGGACGAUCAGACACACUGGAACUGAGACACGGUCCAGACUCCUACGGGAGGCAGCAGUGGGGAAUUUUCCGCAAUGGGCGAAAGCCUGACGGAGCAAUACCGCGUGAGGGAAGACUGCCUAUGGGUUGUAAACCUCUUUUUUCAGGGAGGAAUAAAAUGACGUGUACCUGAAGAAUAAGCAUCGGCUAACUCCGUGCCAGCAGCCGCGGUAAGACGGAGGAUGCAAGUGUUAUCCGGAAUCACUGGGCGUAAAGCGUCUGUAGGUGGUUUAAUAAGUCAACUGUUAAAUCUUGAGGCUCAACUUCAAAAUCGCAGUCGAAACUAUUAGACUAGAGUAUAGUAGAGGUAAAGGGAAUUUCCAGUGGAGCGGUGAAAUGCGUAGAUAUUGGAAAGAACACCGAUGGCGAAAGCACUUUACUGGGCUAUUACUAACACUCAGAGACGAAAGCUAGGGUAGCAAAUGGGAUUAGAUACCCCAGUAGUCCUAGCCGUAAACUAUGGAUACUAGAUGUUGAACAGAUCGACCUGUGCAGUAUCAAAGCUAACGCGUUAAGUAUCCCGCCUGGGAAGUAUGCUCGCAAGAGUGAAACUCAAAGGAAUUGA